GACGAACGCUGGCGGCGUGCCUAAUACAUGCAAGUUGAGCGCUGAAGGUUGGUACUUGUACCAACUGGAUGAGCAGCGAACGGGUGAGUAACGCGUGGGGAAUCUGCCUUUGAGCGGGGGACAACAUUUGGAAAUGAAUGCUAAUACCGCAUAAAAACUUUAAACACAAGUUUUAAGUUUGAAAGAUGCAAUUGCAUCACUCAAAGAUGAUCCCGCGUUGUAUUAGCUAGUUGGUGAGGUAAAGGCUCACCAAGGCGAUGAUACAUAGCCGACCUGAGAGGGUGAUCGGCCACAUUGGGACUGAGACACGGCCCAAACUCCUACGGGAGGCAGCAGUAGGGAAUCUUCGGCAAUGGACGAAAGUCUGACCGAGCAACGCCGCGUGAGUGAAGAAGGGUUUCGGAUCGUAAAACUCUGUUGGUAGAGAAGAACGUUGGUGAGAGUGGAAAGCUCAUCAAGUGACGGUAACUACCCAGAAAGGGACGGCUAACUACGUG
rnacentral:rRNA from 1 species